GACGAACGCUGGCGGCGUGCUUAACACAUGCAAGUUGAACGAGAAGAUUUUUUUAGAAUUCUUCGGAAGGAAGAAAAGAUUGGAAAGUAGCGAACGGGUGAGUAACACGUGAGAAACCUGCCUUUCACAAAGGGAUAGCUUCGGGAAACCGGAAUUAAUACCUUAUGACACAUAGAUAUCGCAUGAUAAUUAUGUUAAAGAAUUUCGGUGAAAGAUGGUCUCGCGUCUGAUUAGCUAGUUGGUAAGGUAAAGGCUUACCAAGGCGAUGAUCAGUAGCCGGAUUGAGAGGUUGAACGGCCACACUGGAACUGAGACACGGUCCAGACUCCUACGGGAGGCAGCAGUGGGGAAUUUUGCACAAUGGGGGGAACCCUGAUGCAGCGACGCCGCGUGAAUGAUGAAGGCCUUAGGGUUGUAAAGUUCUGUCCUUGGUGAAGAUAAUGACUGUAGCCAAGAAGCAAGCCCUGGCUAAAUACGUGCCAGCAGCCGCGGUAAUACGUAUGGGGCAAGCGUUGUCCGGAAUUAUUGGGCGUAAAGGGUACGUAGGCGGUUAAUUAAGUCCUAAUUAAAAGGCAUUGGCUCAACCAAUGUAAGGUUAGGAUACUGAUUAACUUGAGUAGAUGAGAGGAAAGUGGAAUUCCAUGUGUAGCGGUGAAAUGCGUAGAUAUAUGGAGGAACACCUGAGGCGAAGGCGACUUUCUGGAAUCUAACUGACGCUGAGGUACGAAGGCGUGGGGAGCAAACAGG
rnacentral:rRNA from 1 species